rnacentral:lncRNA from 1 species
CAUGGCCAUGCUUUUCCCCGUCUGCAAAUUUCUUGCCAGGUACACCUUCGCGAAGGUUCCGUGGCCUAGCAUACGCCCCAGCUCGUAUUUCCCAUGUAGCAACGUCGGCCUGUCAUCGCCUCCGCCGUUACUGUUUGAUGUAGCCAUCUCCACGCGGUCUUUUUUUUCCUUUUAUACGUAUAUAUGUACCAAGUUUAGCUAAUUAAAUAAUUCUUUCAGGUUUUCUUUUGUGUUGUGGUGGUGGUUGAGGAUCACCCGUCUUCGACGUGUUUCCGGUGGCAAUUACGGCCGCCGACGCACCGCUGGG